rnacentral:rRNA from 1 species
GGGCUUGGUACCGAGAUGAUCCUGGCUCAGAAGUCGUAACAAGGUAACCAGAGUUUGAUCCUGGCUCAGAAAUGGGUGAGUAGCACGCAAAAUUUCUGCCUUUGAGCGGGGGACAACAUUUGGAAACGAAUGCUAAUACCGCAUAAAAACUUUAAACACAAGUUUUAAGUUUGAAAGAUGCAAUUGCAUCACUCAAAGAUGAUCCCGCGUUGUAUUAGCUAGUUGGUGAGGUAAAGGCUCACCAAGGCGAUGAUACAUAGCCGACCUGAGAGGGUGAUCGGCCACAUUGGGACUGAGACACGGCCCAAACUCCUACGGGAGGCAGCAGUAGGGAAUCUUCGGCAAUGGACGAAAGUCUGACCGAGCAACGCCGCGUGAGUGAAGAAGGUUUUCGGAUCGUAAAACUCUGUUGGUAGAGAAGAACGUUGGUGAGAGUGGAAAGCUCAUCAAGUGACGGUAACUACCCAGAAAGGGACGGCUAACUACGUGCCAGCAGCCGCGGUAAUACGUAGGUCCCGAGCGUUGUCCGGAUUUAUUGGGCGUAAAGCGAGCGCAGGUGGUUUAUUAAGUCUGGUGUAAAAGGCAGUGGCUCAACCAUUGUAUGCAUUGGAAACUGGUAGACUUGAGUGCAGGAGAGGAGAGUGGAAUUCCAUGUGUAGCGGUGAAAUGCGUAGAUAUAUGGAGGAACACCGGUGGCGAAAGCGGCUCUCUGGCCUGUAACUGACACUGAGGCUCGAAAGCGUGGGGAGCAAACAGGAUUAGAUACCCUGAUAGUCCACGCCGUAAACGAUGACUGCUAGAUGUAGGCAGCUAUAGUUCUCUGUAUCGACAUCUAACGCAAUAAGCAACUACCGCCUUGGGGAGGC